rnacentral:rRNA from 1 species
UACGUAGGGGGCUAGCGUUGUCCGGAAUCAUUGGGCGUAAAGAGCUCGUAGGCGGUUUGUCGCGUCGGCCGUGAAAUCUCCACGCUUAACGUGGAGCGUGCGGUCGAUACGGGCAGACUUGAGUUCGGUAGGGGAGACUGGAAUUCCUGGUGUAGCGGUGAAAUGCGCAGAUAUCAGGAGGAACACCGGUGGCGAAGGCGGGUCUCUGGGCCGAAUACUGACGUGGAGGAGCGAAAGCGUGGGGAGCGAAACAGG